UGAGGAAUAUUGGUCAAUGGGCGGAAGCCUGAACCAGCCAAGUAGCGUGCAGGAUGACGGCCCUAUGGGUUGUAAACUGCUUUUGAAGGGGAGUAAAGUGAGUGACUUGUCAUUCAUUGCAAGUACCCUUGGAAUAAGGACCGGCUAAUUCCGUGCCAGCAGCCGCGGUAAUACGGAAGGUCCGGGCGUUAUCCGGAUUUAUUGGGUUUAAAGGGAGCGUAGGCUGCCCGGCAAGCGUGCUGUGAAAUACAGUGGCCCAACCACUGGACUGCAGCGCGAACUGUCGGGCUUGAGGGCGCACGACGCAGGCGGAAUUUGUGGUGUAGCGGUGAAAUGCUUAGAUAUCACGAAGAACCCCGAUUGCGAAGGCAGCUUGCGGGAGCGCGACUGACGCUGAAGCUCGAAAGUGCGGGUAUCAAACAGGAUUAGAUACCCUGGUAGUCCGCACGGUAAACGAUGGAUGCCCGUUGUUCGGCUUUCGGGCCGAGCGGCCAAGUGAAAACRUUAAGCAUCCCACCUGGGGAGUACGCCGGCAACGGUG
rnacentral:rRNA from 1 species